UACGAAGGGGGCUAGCGUUGCUCGGAAUCACUGGGCGUAAAGCGCACGUAGGCGGCUUGUUAAGUCAGGGGUGAAAUCCUGGAGCUCAACUCCAGAACUGCCCUUGAUACUGGAAGUCUUGAGUAUGGGAGAGGUGAGUGGAACUGCGAGUGCAGAGGUGAAAUUCGUAGAUAUUCGCAAGAACACCAGUGGCGAAGGCGGCUCACUGGCCCAUAACUGACGCUGAGGCACGAAAGCGUGGGGAGCAAACAGG
rnacentral:rRNA from 1 species